GGUCUAUUAGCUCCGUCGGUUAGAGCGCGGUACUAAUAAUGCAAGGUUCGACCCCUGUAUGAAUCA
rnacentral:tRNA from 1 species